rnacentral:rRNA from 1 species
GAUGAACGCUGACAGAAUGCUUAACACAUGCAAGUCUACUUGAACUUCGGUUUGGGUGGCGGACGGGUGAGUAACGCGUAAAGAACUUGCCCCACAGUUAGGGACAACAUUUGGAAACGAAUGCUAAUACCUGAUAUUAUGAUUUUAGGGCAUCCUAAGAUUAUGAAAGCUAUAUGCGCUGUGAGAGAGCUUUGCGUCCCAUUAGCUAGUUGGAGAGGUAACGGCUCACCAAGGCGAUGAUGGGUAGCCGGCCUGAGAGGGUGAACGGCCACAAGGGGACUGAGACACGGCCCUUACUCCUACGGGAGGCAGCAGUGGGGAAUAUUGGACAAUGGACCAAAAGUCUGAUCCAGCAAUUCUGUGUGCACGAUGACGUUUUUCGGAAUGUAAAGUGCUUUCAGUUGGGAAGAAAAAAAUGACGGUACCGACAGAAGAAGUGACGGCUAAAUACGUGCCAGCAGCCGCGGUAAUACGUAUGUCACAAGCGUUAUCCGGAUUUAUUGGGCGUAAAGCGCGUCUAGGUGGUUAUGUAAGUCUGAUGUGAAAAUGCAGGGCUCAACUCUGUAUUGCGUUGGAAACUGCAUGACUAGAGUACUGGAGAGGUAAGCGGGAACUACAAGUGUAGAGGUGAAAUUCGUAGAUAUUUGUAGGAAUGCCGAUGGGGGAAGCCAGCUUACUGGACAGAUACUGACGCUAAAGCGCGAAAGCGUGGGUAGCAAACAGG